GGUUCUUAUAAAUCCAACAUGGCGCUCUGUUGGGUGAUCAGUGAGGACGGCCGGUUAUUAACGUCGUUCAAUCCGAUCAAAGUGCAGAUUUUACGGUCUCAUUAAGAAGCGCAGGACGAGUUAGUCCUACUCCGGGCUGAUGAGAGGACUUCCGGUCUUCACUGACUCAGUUUACUGGGUAACUUAGCAGCGGCGGCUAACGUUAGCUCCAGCUCGGUGAACCGACAUGGACCGAGCACCGACCAGGAUGGACCCGUGAAAGGACCGAGCACCGACCAGGAUGGAUCUGUUAAAGGACCAGGAUCAGACUCCACCUCCUCAGGACUCCUGGGACUGAGGGACUAAGGACCAGCUGCUGUGAUGUCAGACCUGCCCACUGAUUGGUUCUAACAGGACCAGCUGCUGUAAUGUCAUGUGUGUUUGCCACUCUGGAGGAGGAGGAGGCGGCGUGCACGGAGCUGGUGCCCUACCUGAGCUUCAUCCUGGACACUCUGGUGUUUGGGAAGUAUCAGCACAAGAAUCUGCUCAUCCUUUUACGAAGCCAUAGGAACUAUGGCGGACUCCGUGGUUCGCACAAUCUUUUUUGUCCAUUGAGCCAUCCAGGUUUUUUCCUUCAGUGUCAUGAACCAUUGCAUGCUUCUCAGUGUGGCUCCUUUUUUUUUUUUUUUUUUUUUUUUUAAAUAAAUUAUUUUUCUUUAAAGAAUUAUUUUGUUUUAUAGCGGGCCGUUUGAUAUUGUCAAACUGAAAAAAUGUGGUUGGACUGAAGACGACGAGGAGUAGGUGCUCGGUGCAAACCUCGGAAAGAUGUGGAAACUUAAUUCAUGACUUUGUUUCAAUCUGAUGUCACGGCUGGAAAGUGUAUAUGAUGUAGUUCCUUUUCGCUCAACAUGUGGUGCAGGUGGGAAGUUAUCCAAUGUAUGUUUUUAUUUAAUUUUUGUGAAUAGGGGUAAAUAAAAUUUCUUUUCUAUUAAA